rnacentral:lncRNA from 1 species
AAAUGCCUCAACCUAGGAGAGGAAGUGCGCUGCUCAGGAACUACCCGGGGCUGCAGAUUCCCAUCGUCUGGAGGCAGGAAAAGCUGCCUGCAGUGUGUUCGUGUGCCUGUACAGAAUUCUCUUGCCAACCUUUGCAGCGAGAGAUAGUAGCUAAAUGCUCAGAAUUAAAGAGCAACCCCCAAAACCUGGAAAAGAGUCUAAGUGAACAAAGCCUGCCUGGAAUGGAAGAGCUCUGAGUGAAGAGAGUCAGCACAGAGAAGCAAACAGAGGACCCUGUAAGGACUACUUAUCAAACUGUAAUCAACAACAACCAUUAACAACCAACAACCAACCAACCAACCAACCAACCAACCAACAAUCAACAACUCCACCUCUCAGGGCCCUUUUUUAUAUAUUCCCUGAAAACUUUCCAGAAUUCCAAACACCACACAAUCGCAUAAAACUGUCUUCAAGUGUCAGAAUCAUGCCCCCACCAGAGCUCAAGGAAAA